CCGGCAUCCUGACGUCCCCCGGCCGGCCCCGGCCCCGGCCCCGGCCUCCUUCCCGGGCCGGCCACCUGCGCUCGCUGGAGGACCUGCCGGCUCGCAGAGAGGUUCUCUUAGCCCGAGGGCGGCGGCUCCAUCGCCCGCACCUGCCCCGGCUCCGCCCCGCCCAGCCCGUCAGCCUACCCGGGGGUUGUCAGCAGUGCCCGCCCGGGUGGCCCGAGCUGCCGCUGCCGCCGCUGCCACCACUGCCACCGCGCUGGCGGAUGGGACUUGUAGUCUGCGCGGCUCCGGCGUGACGGCCACCCCUCCCCCUUCCCUCCCCCGCGAAGAUCCCAGCCCCCCGGAGCCGACUUUAGCCUUCCGAGGAUGGGAAAACCAAGGCCCAAUCAAUCAAAAAGCAUGGAUUGAACACCUACUAUGUGCCAGAGACGGAUCUAACCAUGAGGUAAAAUGCAGCCCCCCCCUCAUCCCAUUCCAGUGGGGGAGACAAUAUGCAAACAACAAGAUGCAGCUCAAGGUAUUGACAAGAUAGAGAGGAGGUAUAUGGGAAGGAGAGAUAUUUCGCGGAAUUGGGGGACAUCUUGCAGAAAGGGGGCUUUGAGUUGAGACCUAAAGGAAGCCGGGAUGGCAAGUGGCUGAGUGUACUCUAGGUACAGAUCACCCAGGAAGCCAUGGAUAAAAUAUGUCUUGACAUCCUCAAGUCUUCUUUAAAUUCUCUUGCCUCUCCUGGGAGUAGCUGUCAUGGAGGUAACACUGAAGGUUUUGGAAGCUCCUGGCGAGGACCCUCGAUUCCACCUCUAGUGCAGACCUGCCCUUUCUCAACAAUUCAGAUUGUUAGAAUAGAAUUGAUUAGUCCGAGAAAUGAGAUGAUUAUUUGGUAAGGGAGUGGGACAUGAAGCCAGGUCUUUCUGAUUGAGGUCAGUGUAAUGUUGAAAAGAGACAUGAUUUCUGGGUAAUUGUUUUAUUAAUGCUAUUAGCGUAUUCCCAAUAAAAUGGGUCAGUGACACUCUCAAAUGUUGAAUACAAAUCAUGGUGGGCUCACAGUUUUGUUUUGUUUUUUAAUAGCUUUUUAUUUACAAGAUAUAUGCAUGGGUAAUUUUUCAGCAUUGACAGUUGCAAAACUUUUUGUUCCAAUUUUUCCCCUCCUUCCCCCCACCCCCUCCCCCAGAUGGCAGGUUGACCAAUACAUGUUAAAUAUGUUAAAGUACAAUGUUAAAUACAUAUGUUAAAUACAA